CCGGCGUGGGCGUGGUGUCUCUCCCGCCAUGGGUCAGGUGUGCCACUGGGAGGUCAGGCUCUGCCUCCAGCAUCAACGCCCUGGAGUAGCAUGACGCCACUUGGGCUGCCUUGGCUCAAGGCGCACACUCACUCUUGGGCAGGAGGCCAAACCACAGCUCUCAGGCUGAAAUGUGGGAAAGAAUUAGCUGUGGAAACGUUCAAGGCUGGCACAGAUGGAGGCCUUCCUGGGGACCUUUUGAAAAAUGAGGUCAUGGAUCCCUUCACCUUUGUCAUGCUCUGUCCAGCACAUCUAGUUUUGAAGUUGUAGUGAGAACCAUGUGAUUUUUUUCUGUGUUUUUUGACAAAGCAUCAAUUUCAGAUUCUUCCCACUCAUCAUUUGCAGGAUAAUCUGAUCCUUCUAACCCCAGAAGAGCAGCUGUCUGAAGGAAAUAGAGCAGUAGUUCUCAACCUGUUUUGGCCUUCAACUAUCAGAAAUCCUAACAGCUGGUAAAUUGGCUUGGAUUUCCAAGAGUUGUAGGCCAAAAACACCUGGGGACCCACAGGUUGAGAACCACUGAAAUAGAGGAUUGCUCUGCCACUCCCUGCAAGUGUGCUUAGAUUUUCAGCCUUAUUUUAUACUAGUCUUACAGAAAACAUAGAUUAAAUUGCACAUGGAAGAUAACUGUUGUUUCAAUACUUGGCCUUGAUCUUAUGUUCUACUAUUGUAUUGCAGAUGCAAUACACAUCAAACACAUGGUGCCAUGCAUCUCCCAUACUUUACAUAUGUUCUACUGUAGCACUGUUUAGCCGACAGCAGUUUUCUGCUCCUUCAUUUCAACAGUCCUUUUCACAAAGUGCACAUUACACAGCAAAAAAGGUUUUUUUUAAUCCAAAACAACAGGUGAUCAGAAAUAAAGGGGUGAAAGGCUAUCAGGAAAUAUUUUUUUAAUUGUACAAUAUUCAAAGUUCUUUUUUUCCCCAAAAGACAGGAGGGAAACAAUAAACAACAACAACAGCAUCUCAGAUAAUGAAUGAUACAGUCUUUCACAGGAACAAAUCCAUCAGAGAAAAAUGCAUUAGUACUUGUUGCUUCUCAGCCCAUUUGUUGGGGGGAAAUAGGGUAAGUAUGUCAAACCUAAAUAACUCCACAUUUAAAGUUACAAGGACAGUGUUACAGUGCACAGCAUGAUUCUUGUCCUCUUCCCCAUUCCCUCCCCCCAAACACAUCAUUUUCCUAUACAAAAGCAAGCAAUAUAGACUUAAGCAAAAAUGACUCAUAUGAAGAAUCUAAAUACUUGGAAAUAUGCAGACUGUUGUUUUGCCAACAACAUUUCUCUAAAAUGUUGGCAUCAUCUAAAUAAUUUUAAUUCUGUUUGCCGCAAAGAAAUAAAGAUAUUCUUUCAUUCAUGGAGCAAAUUCAGCACCCUUUGGCAAAAUAUUCUUGGAAGACUAGCAGUGUAAUUGCCAAGAGGUGAAAUAUAUUAUUCCGUGGUUUAUGCUGCUAAUGAUUAAAAGGGAAUCUACUUUGUCAGGAUAAGUAUAGAUGUUGGGUGCCUUCCUACCUAUGGCCAGCAAGCCAUCCCAAGUUUUUAAGAAUGAAAAAAGUCAUGUGUGCAAGGUAACACCCAUUUAAAGGAGAAGGGGAAAAGAAAUGUUUUCAAGUAAGGUAGUAUUUUUGUAACACAGAUGCACAUUUCCAGAAAAAGGUCAUCUUUCUGGCACUGAGGUGAAAAGACUCAUUCUUGUUUAACUGAUACAAGUUAAGUUCAACUUUUCGACAAUCCAAUAAGGCAUUGAGUAGUAUGGGUUUACCAGUCUGAUGAGGCUGUAUUCAUUGGCCUUAUGAAUGUAUUAACUCCGAAGAAAAUGUUCUGAUUUUAGUUAUUUUUCUUUCAACUACUAAGCAACUGCACUAGCUCAAAUGUGUUAUCCUACCUUCAAGAGCAUCUGUCCCUUUUCUGAGGUUAAAAAAUGCACAAUUUCAGAAGCAUAACGUAACAUUGAUUUAUCCCUAUUUUAUGACAGUGUUAGGAGCAUUGUUUCUUCUUUUGUUACUAGAUUUUUCUUCCAUUGUAUCUAACUUCUUAACUUGAAGAACAGAAAAGAUUGAAACCUUGGUUCAAAUGUUCACUUGAUUCCAGGGACUUGUACUUUAAAAGGAUAUACAAUCAGCAGUGGCCUUGUGAGAAACAUUUAGACAUUUUCUUUUUUUCCAUUUAGCACAAUAUUUUCAGACCCCUUAGAGAUGAACACCAAACUACACAAUGGGAUAAGAGACAUUGGUAUCUAGAGAGGUCUUCCGCAGGCUAGAUAAAUGAGCCUAUCUGAACCACAAAUCUUAACUGGCUCUCAGGGAACUAAAAAAGCAUUUUGUUCAUUAACUUUCUAAGACCACAUGGAUUUUUAAAAUAAAAAAACAAAGCUAUUAUUUCUUCAAGAACUUAAAUUUAACAAUACGAAGGAUUCUCAAAAAGAAACAGAGUAGUCUUGGAGGUGAAGCUUCGGCUUCAAAAGACAUUUCCCUUCUCAUGAUUUUGUAGUGUAACACAGUAAAAUGAGCUUCAUUUUCCAAAGGAAUGAGACUUUAAAUCUCAGUUUUUUGUCACGUUAACUCAGGAACACAUACAUAAGGCCCCUCUACAAUGUUACUGUUAAAUGGUUUCAAAAAUCACAUUCAACACUUACUUUACGAUCAAGAUGAGACUUACCACUUCAUUAACAUCCUCUUUGGAUGUUGGAAAACACCAAAGUCCAUAUUUCAGGGGCAAGGGAAGCACAUAGCAGCUAAUUAACUCAACAGAAGUCAGUUUCAUUUAUCUUCCACUGGGACAUGUCUAUACAUACAUGGCACAUGAUGCAUUUUGUUUUACUUCACUUCUACUACUGUAAAAAAAAAGUUGUGAAUUUGGUAAUUUUGCCAGGUACAAAAAGCUACUCAAGACAAUU